AUUGAACGCUGGCGGCAGGCCUAACACAUGCAAGCCGAGCGGAUGAAGGGAGCUUGCUCCUGGAUUCAGCGGCGGACGGGCGAGUAAUGCCUAGGAAUCUGCCUGGUAGUGGGGGACAACGUUUCGAAAGGAACGCUAAUACCGCAUACGUCCCACGGGAGAAAGCAGGGGACCUUCGGGCCUUGCGCUAUCAGAUGAGCCUAGGUCGGAUUAGCUAGUUGGUGAGGUAAAGGCUCACCAAGGCGACGAUCCGUAACUGGUCUGAGAGGAUGAUCAGUCACACUGGAACUGCGACACGGUCCAGAGUCCUACGGGAGGCAGCAGUGGGGAAUAUUGGACAAUGGUCGAAAGCCUGAUCCAGCCAUGCAGCGUGUGUGAAGAAGGUCUUCGGAUUGUAAAGCACUUUAAGUUGGGAGGAAGGGUUGUAGAUUAAUACUCUGCAAUUUUGACGUGACCGACAGAAUAAGCACCGGCUAACUCUGUGCCAGCCGCCGCCGUAA
rnacentral:rRNA from 1 species